CAGCAAACCUUAAAAGUUCUCAGUUUACCAAAGUAUUAACUUUGUGUGAUUUUUGGAUUGACUGGCUUUUUUGUAUCACUUGACAAGCGAUGUUAAGAGAAGAAUAAGAGACGAGAGGAUUCUGCUUUAAGACUGCUGCCUCAGCACCUUGAACUCCUCCUUCUUUGAGAGUGUGUGUGUGUGUGUGUGUGUGUGUGUACGUGUGUGUGUGCGUGGAGGAGUGGAGAGACGAGUUGGAGCAGGGACCAGCUGCAAGUCAUCUUCAUCAACAGUGUACUUAAGCCGGUCCUGAACGACACCUCGUCUCCAGAUCAUCUUGAGUUGUUGUACUAGACUCCACGCCUGCCUCCUUGCCUGCACGCCCUUCACACCUGCAAACUCUCCAGCACAUCUGCCUGCCCGUGGAUCCCCUUGUCUGGCCGAGACGGACCACCAGAAGUCCCUGCUCCCCACUGUUUGCCUGUUGUUGUUGUUUUUUUUAAAAAAAUACUUCAUCUGCAGUAACC